GGGGGUGUGGCGCAACGGUAGCGCGUCAGAUUCCAGUGAUCAUUACGAUCUGGAGCUUCCUGAAGGCUGUGCGUUCAAAUCGCACCAUCCUCA
rnacentral:tRNA from 1 species